rnacentral:rRNA from 1 species
AGGAUUCCCCUAGUAACUGCGAGUGAAGCGGGAAAAGCUCAAAUUUAAAAUCUGGCGGUCUUUGGCCGUCCGAGUUGUAAUCUAGAGAAGUAAUGCCCGUGCUGGACCGUGUAUAAGUCUCCUGGGAUGGGGCGUCAUAGAGGGUGAGAAUCCCGUCUUUGACACGGACUACCAGUGCAUUGUGGUAUGCUCUCAAAGAGUCGAGUUGUUUGGGAAUGCAGCUCAAAAUGGGUGGUAAAUUCCAUCUAAAGCUAAAUAUUGGCGAGAGACCGAUAGCGAACAAGUACCGUGAGGGAAAGAUGAAAAGAACUUUGGAAAGAGAGUUAAACAGUACGUGAAAUUGCUGAAAGGGAAACGCUUGAAGUCAGUCGCGUUGGCCGGGAAUCAGCCUUGCUUUUUGCAUGGUGUACUUUCUGGUUGACGGGUCAGCAUCAAUUUUGAUCACUGGAAAAGGCUCAGGGGAAUGUGGCAGCUYCGGCUGUGUUAUAGCCCUUGUUCACAUACAGUGGUUGGGAUUGAGGAACUCAGCACGCCGCAAGGCCGGGUUUCGACCACGUUCGUGCUUAGGAUGCUGGCAUAAUGGCUUUAAGCGACCCGUCUUGAAACACGGACCAAGGAGUCUAACAUGCCUGCGAGUAUUUGGGUGGAAAACCCAGGUGCGCAAUGAAAGUGAAAGUUGAGAUCCCUGUCGUGGGGAGCAUCGACGCCCGGACCAGAACUUUUGGGACGGAUCCGCGGUGGAGCAUGUAUGUUGGGACCCGAAAGAUGGUGAACUAUGCCUGAAUAGGGUGAAGCCAGAGGAAACUCUGGUGGAGGCUCGUAGCGAUUCUGACGUGCAAAUCGAUCGUCAAAUUUGGGUAUAGGGGCGAAA